GUACAGUGAUGACAAUCUUAGGACACCUUUAGAGGCUGUGACCUAUGACCUAUGAAACUAACAUCUGUUUUUACCUGAGUACG